rnacentral:rRNA from 1 species
UCCACGGAAGUUUUCAGAGAUGAGAAUGUGCCUUCGGGAACCGUGAGACAGGUGCUGCAUGGCUGUCGUCAGCUCGUGUUGUGAAAUGUUGGGUUAAGUCCCGCAACGAGCGCAACCCUUAUCCUUUGUUGCCAGCGGUCCGGCCGGGAACUCAAAGGAGACUGCCAGUGAUAAACUGGAGGAAGGUGGGGAUGACGUCAAGUCAUCAUGGCCCUUACGACCAGGGCUACACACGUGCUACAAUGGCGCAUACAAAGAGAAGCGACCUCGCGAGAGCAAGCGGACCUCAUAAAGUGCGUCGUAGUCCGGAUUGGAGUCUGCAACUCGACUCCAUGAAGUCGGAAUCGCUAGUAAUCGUGGAUCAGAAUGCCACGGUGAAUACGUUCCCGGGCCUUGUACACACCGCCCGUCACACCAUGGGAGUGGGUUGCAAAAGAAGUAGGUAGCUUAACCUUCGGGAGGGCGCUUACCACUUUGUGAUUCAUGACUGGGGUGAAGUCGUAACAAGGUAAGCGUAGAUGA